rnacentral:rRNA from 1 species
UACGUAGGGUGCAAGCGUUGUCCGGAAUUAUUGGGCGUAAAGAGCGUGUAGGCGGCCCGAUUAGUCCGCUGUCGAAAGUCCAGGGCUCAACCCUGGAAUGCCGGUGGAUACUGUCGGGCUAGAGUGCGGAAGAGGCGAGUGGAAUUCCUGGUGUAGCGGUGAAAUGCGCAGAUAUCAGGAGGAACACCAAUUGCGAAGGCAGCUCGCUGGGACGUUACUGACGCUGAGACGCGAAAGCGUGGGGAGCAAACAGG